rnacentral:lncRNA from 1 species
AAAGGUAAGUCUCUUCUCCUGUCACUCUGAUAAGAAGGCCUUUCGCCAAGAAAUGAUGCCUAAAGCAAGAGGCAUCAGUAAUAAGCUGGAGAUGAUCAAUAAAGAAGUGAAAGACUUUUUAGCUUCUGAGAAAUAUGGUGUCACAACUGCUUCUUCCCCUCAGGUAGAUGUAGUUCAGGAGGUUGGCUUCUUGAUUGCUGACCUGAAAAUCACAGAAAAUGAGGAAAAGACAUCUAUAGAAAAUUUCUGGUCCAUAAUAAAAGAAAAGGCAGGUGUAAGUGAUGAAAUACCAAUAGGCCUGGAGGACAUAGGAAGGCACGUUGCAGAAAAGUGUCAAGGUCUGUCUUUAGCAGCAAAUUUACUUGGAGGUUUGUUACAAAACAAAAGAAGGGAUUUCUGGUUGUCAAUUUUAGAAAGCGGGGUAUUAGAUAAAGAAGAUGUAAUCUCUGCGAUACUCAUAUUGUGCUUUGAAAAUCUGCCAUCUCC